CAGAGCUCUGGGGCAUCUCCACCAUGGCCUGGACCCCUCUCCUGCUCCCCCUCCUCACUCUCUGUAUAGGUUCUGUGGUCUCCUUGGAGCUGACUCAGCCAGCUUCAGUGUCUGUGGCCUUAGGACAGACUGCCACAAUCACCUGCCAGGGAGGAAUCUUUGACAAAGAGUAUGUGUACUGGUACCAACAGAAGCCUGGCGGGCACCCUGUGACAGUGAUUUAUAAGGAUAGUGAACGGCCCUCCGGGAUCCCUGGCAGAUUCUCUAGCUCCAGCUCAGGGAACACAGCCACCCUGACCAUCAGCAGGGCCCAGGCAGAGGACGAGGCCGACUAUUACUGCCACUCAGCAGAUAGUGAUAAUGCUCACAGUGACACAGACUGA